GUGGCGAACGGGGGAGUAACACGUGAGCAAUCUGCCCUUGACUCUGGGAUAACUGCGGGAAACUGUAGCUAAUACCGGAUACUUUCCUCGCUGGGCAUCCAGCGGGGAAGAAAGAAUUUCGGUCAAGGAUGAGCUCGCGGCCUAUCAGCUAGUUGGUGAGGUAAUGGCUCACCAAGGCGACGACGGGUAGCCGGCCUGAGAGGGUGACCGGCCACACUGGAACUGAGACACGGUCCAGACUCCUACGGGAGGCAGCAGUGGGGAAUAUUGCACAAUGGGCGAAAGCCUGAUGCAGCAACGCCGCGUGAGGGAUGAAGGCCUUCGGGUUGUAAACCUCUUUUAGCAGGGAAGAAGCGAAAGUGACGGUACCUGCAGAAAAAGCACCGGCUAACUACGUGCCAGCAGCCGCGGUAAUACGUAGGGUGCAAGCGUUGUCCGGAAUUAUUGGGCGUAAAGAGCUCGUAGGCGGUUUGUCACGUCUGCUGUGAAAAUCCGAGGCUCAACCUCGGACUUGCAGUGGGUACGGGCAGGCUAGAGUGCGGUAGGGGAGAAGGGGAUUCCUGGUGUAGCGGUGGAAUGCGCAGAUAUCAGGAGGAACACCAAUGGCGAAGGCACUUCUCUGGGCCGUAACUGACGCUGAGGAGCGAAAGCGUGGGGAGCGAACAGGAUUAGAUACCCUGGUAGUCCAC
rnacentral:rRNA from 1 species